CCCGCGCGCCGCCCGCAGCAGCGCCACAGCGUGGAACCGCCGCAACGGUCGCUCCACGCGCCCCGCCCCGCCCCCUGCGUCGCGCCUCGCCUCGCCUCGCCUCACCUCACGGGACCUCGGCCCCUGCGAGCCGGCAGCGGCUGCCGCUUCUGUCUUCUAAAUGCGUUUUUUGGAGGGGACAAAAUGGCAAAAGUAGCGGGGAGGCUGCAUAAGGCAGGAGAGCGGGCUUUGGGGUGCGCGCAGAGAAGUGGUUCCCCGUGGCUGAAAUAGCUCCGUUUGUCACGGGGCGCGCACCGCCCUCCUGCAGGCUGCGCGAAGACGUGCAGAACACAACGGUUUCAGCCUUUGUUUGAGGUCUAAAACAGCCGAGCACCCCCAGCUUGGCCUCGGGUGUCAGUCCACCUCCAUCUGCCCCACAGGACCCGUUACUCAGAGGUGCACAGAAAGCCAAGCGUUCGCGUUUAGACACCCACAUCCCAGGCGGAGCUCAGAGCCAGCAGCUUCUGAAGGGGGGCACGGAGCCCCAGCAGCGCACUCUGCCCUGCGCUCACUGCCCGCACGGUGCACAGCUGGGCGCACUGCUGCGGCUCCUCUGAGCAGGGAGCUGUGCUGAAGGAGCUGUGCUCUGCCCCCUCCGUUUCUAUUGUUUCAUUUUUUCAAAGGUUUUAAUGGAUGUGGGAGAGAAAGGUUUGGAACAGCUUUGGGGUGAUGGCAGAGGAAGCUCUCUGAAGUAAUCCGGGGGCAGUGCCAAGAGGCAUUCCAGUUCUCAGAAAAAUAACCAGUUACUGCUUAUGUGCUGGGAGCUGCAAGAGUGAUGAUUUCUGCUGCCAACAUUUACAGUCAGCCCUGACCAUGACAGUAGAUCAAAUACAUGUACUCGCCUGGACAGCUGACCUGGUUUGAACUCAGUGAGUGUUACUCUCAACGAUGACUGCAUUUUUGGAAUUAAUACUUUGCUGUAUUUUUUUAAAUCAACCAUAACCUCUCCCAGCAUUAACCAACCUCUCAGGACUGUUCCAAGCACCUGGUGCCCUGGGGGAGCUGUUUAGACCCCGCAGGUGUGACUGGCUGGUGAAAUGAGAUGACACAGCUGGACUGAGACAAGCCACAGAGAAGUGGCUGGCCUGCUCUGCAGUUGGACGUUGAUCUGACCAAGGGUAACUCCCAGCUGGUGCCAGUGGGAGAAACAGUUUGAUCCUUCCUCCGUGCUCGGCUCCUUCACUUUUGGCUUGCGUGCAGCAGGAAGGCAGUUAGAAAUAGCUGUUCUUACAUGCUUAGGCUGUUUGAUUUUGGAACUUGGCGCUGGUUUUACUGGAGAUAGAAGAGCACCCACAAGCAGAGAAUGAAACAUCCUAUCCCCAGUCAGAGCUGUAACAGAAGGAAGGAGUGAAAGGAAGCCUGACCUGCUGGAAAAGUGGGACAAGUCCUGCAGACAGCAAUCAACCUUCCAAACAAAGGCAUUAGAAGUCAUGCUAUGUCUUUUUAUGAAAGAAUCAUCAUAGCAGCACACAUUUUAAAAGAACAGCAAGCAGUGCAGGAGGGCUCGUUACUAGUCUGUAUGCAGUUUAUCCUGAAGGAGAGGAUCCAUUAAGGCUUGCAGGGAUCAAUACGAGUGCUUACAGCUGAAGCCCUCUCAACGAAUUCCGUUCACAUUGAUGCAGACUCUGAAAACUCCAGUCCAACACACGCCACAGUCACAAAGGCAGGUGCAGUCCUCUUCAGAACCUGGAAUGGGAUGGCUUCAGUUCUCAGAGAGAAGCAAAGUUCAUCAGAGCUACGGAAGCACGGGCAAGGGGAGCAGGUACAGACCAGCUAGGAGGUAAUCACAGCUGUAUGCAGACACCACGUGCUGAAUAACAAGCAUGUCUACCAGAACUCAGGAUUCAGGUGGGUGACCUGAGAUCUGGUACUUGUAGAACAGCCAUCACAUUUUUGUACAGCUUGAAAAGGAAAGAGCACAGAUCACAUUUUUCCUCUCACUUUUGCCCCAUAUUUCCCACUUAUCUCAAGUGUCUUCAUGUUUUCAAUUUAGCAUAAAUCUAUGUAAUCUGGUCCUCACAACUUUCCACCUCCUGCCUUUGAGAAGAAUAAUCCACAGCCACUGCCCUUUGAUACAAAGUAGUUGCUGUAUAACAGUUUUCAGGCUUUGAUUUCUACAGAGAAAAGUAGGAAAAGAUGUUUUCAAGUUACAAAUAGACUGGACAUCACCACUAGUUCUUCCUUUGCCUCCCAUAGAUGGUGGGAAUUUUAUUCAACUUGGAUAUUUUCUAAUGAUAAGAAUGGGAAUAGGAUUCGUCCUUCAAUUGCUACCAUUUUCCCUGGCCUUUCCUCAUUCCUGCAUGAAACACACGUAUCCAAACCAAGUGACAACACACUCGCUCUAUUAAGAAUAAAACCUCAGCAUCUACUCUGCUCACUCUGAUCCCAUACAUCGCCUAUUUCAUUCAUCACUGAUAAUUACACUUUUUACGCUGGUAAUUUGUCUAAUAUUAUUUCAUUUUUUUCCUUCUAAAUAAAGGCUGGCAGGUAGGUAGCAAUGAUAACUGACACUCUGUAUUCUUUUCUCAACCUUGAAAGACUGUGCUUUUCAUAAAUAGUGAAUACAUUUGUCAGCUGUAAAUGAUCCAAAGUAUCCAAAGAUAACGCUACAGCUUUAUUUGCCAUUCUGACUUAAUAUGCCUUAGUUUGUAUAUCCUACUCAAUCUCCAUGUUCUUCAAAGCUCCACCUUCAUAUUUUUUAAUACCUUGGUUUUCCACAUUUUCUUUCUUUCACUAUUAGUCUUUGACCACCGUUCUUUUCAUGCAUUUCUCUCACCAUCAGAUUUAUAGUUAUUUCUCUCCGUUCUUGGUAUUUCCCAUGGCAGCCAGGAGGCUCUCAAGUUUUGCCCAGUAUUUCCCCAGACAUCAUCUUCACUUCCUUCAAGCUCACUUUCUCCAUGAAUCAUUCAUAAGUUGAUCUACUCGCUAGUGCCAUAUUUUUUCAUACCCUCUGGGGUCAGAUUUGUUGUCUUUCCUAGGACUUGCUUUGGAGGACUGCUAAGCUUCCACCUGGAGUAAAGGGGAGGUAAAGGAGCUCGAACAGUCAGAAACAUAGUCUGGAAGACAGCAUUUAGCCUAUAUAACUCUGGCAGUCUCAGGUUUCCUACAUGUUUAUAAUUUCUUCUGUGAAUUGCUACAUUCUUUGAUGAAACUUCAUAAAUAAUAUAUCUUAGCUGUAGUUGUCAGCAUGUAUAAUCUUUUAAAAGAGUCAGAUUUGCAGUAUUUAAAAAUAAUUUCCUUACAGCAAAAAUACAAGGCUUCUGGCUAUUCAGAUCUUUACAACUAUUUGUCUUUUGCAAGGUAAGAAGGUAAUAAUGCAAAAGUAAUGAUGUAUGUGAAACAAAAGGAAUACAUCCAGAGCAUCCUUUGCCCAAACAGAAUAAAUAGUCUCCCUAGAGAGCAUAUUAACCAAAAUAUAUUAUAACCUAUUAUUAUUUUGUUCAGAAUAUAUGUGUCUAAUUAGGCUUAAUGCAAAGGAGAAGUAUAUAAUUUUAUGCAAAAAAGAAAAACAACAAACUGCUUGCUGUUGUAUGUGCCAGUACUGCUGCAGCUGCUACAGAGCAGCAAGGCAAUAUCCCUGGUGACUGCUUGCCUUCUCAGCUGCAGGAUGCCUGCUGCAGUAACCGCUGUAUAAAGUUCCCACUGCUUAGGGCAGAGAGGGAAUGAAACCCUGGGGCUAACCAAAAUUUUUUCUGCUACUACAUGAAGUGUGGAUCUCAGUGAUCUUGUUCACUUCCUUGGUUCAACAGGACAAAGAAAAGGCAUUGAUACUUGGCUGAUUGCACUAAAUAGAACAAUAAAUAUAAGGCCAAAUUAUAAACUUGUAUGGGGUGAAAGAAAUGGAAGAUUUUUCCCAUGUGCCCUCCCUCAUGCCUCAGGACAGCUCUCCUGGAUCAAAAGAUGCACACUAUAUCAUCAAUCAAGGUAUGUCACUAAACGAGCAAGGAGGAAAGCACAGAAUUUAGGGAAGAACCUCAUUUUAGUGGGCAGUAAUCGAAGCUGUAAGUAGUGCAGAAAUGUUAUUGUUCUUCAGUAAGUUAAGUACAACUAUAGGACAGGAAAUGUGGAGAACAGCAGAUGAGACUAAUAGUAGCAGAUACCACAGCACAAGCAUUCAGUUGAAUCUAAAAAGAGUUAUUUCCCUAACGGAUAAAUAGUGCAGUCCAAAAUAUUUUGGUUUUCUUAUUUUCUGAUGACAAAAUUACUCAAAGAAAUAAAGAGAUUCAGAGAAUGGAUCAAAAAUUUACUGUUCACUAUUAAUCAAUUACCUCUUAGUGAUGUAUUUACACUUAAUAUUACAAUUCUCCAAAAGGAUGAAGCUUUUGAAGAAAUAGUAAUGAUCUGUUAAAAGUAUAUCUGGUAGAAAAGCUUUCCUAAAGACACCAUUAAACAGUUUUCUCCGUUCUUUGGAUAAAUGAAAUUUUGAAUUCUGAUCCCUUUCCAACAUCCAGCUAUUGAGCAAGAUGCUCUUGUCCACACUCAAACCUUCCUCUCAUGGCCUCAGCAGCAAUGCAAAACUCAUCAGUUAGGAACUCCAAUGCCUUUGGCUCUUCUCUUUGAGCUAUCUAGGCCAUGCAAAGAGGACUGAAAGCUGAAGAUCCAGCUUGCUGGUCAUCUGAUGUCUGGCCUCAGACUCUUGAAUGCUACUGGAAAAUGGGAAUAUCCCAGAUAGACUGGAGACAUCACAUGAUGCAGGACUGGCAGAGGAACUCCUUUGUGAGUUAUGCUACUUGGCAGAGCUAAAGCAAAAAUCUGUGGAGGAACAUUCAUCCCUGUUUGUCAAUUGUGGUCAGUGGGGCUCAGGCAUAAAAUGGCUCUUUGUUUUUUGAGGCUGCCAAUAAUAUACACUACAUUUUAGUGCUUAUUUGCAAGUUAACUGUAAAAACAAAGGUCCAGGAAAACAGCUUCCAGAAGGGAGUAUGCACUUCUGGCAUUUGUUUGUGUGCCACUUUGUUCUUUAGAGCAUUUCAAGUGCUUUUCCCACAAACAAAUGGACUCCAUUUUAUGAAUAAUGCUCUAAGAGGACAUUCCAUUCUCGUCUUUCACAUAUCAAAUUCCAUUCUAAAGAAAUUAUUUUUUCUUCUUUUGUUUGGGGUGAUUUAAUAAAACAAAGAUGGAGUCAGUAGUUUUCAAGUGGAUACAUCUGGGAAAUACUGGCAAUUGCAAUUUAUGCUAAUUUAGAGUAUGGCUGGCAGGGUGGCUCGGCUCCAGUCAGCAGCGUUCCUAGAAACCAAGCUUUAGGAAAAAUACUGUUAUUUUGGCUAUACAGGGCAUGGUGAAAGAUGACCUCGUACCUUCUAUUUCCUGUUGAUCAUAUGAUACCGACCCAUCUAUGUCAGCAAACAUAUUCAUCUCUUACUGAAAUGAAUACACCGUGCUGAGUGGCAGUUGGGUAUUAGGUGAUAAAAAAAAUAAUCACAUGGUGACAGCUUAGAAAGAUCUUGUUUUUACUCAAACAGUGGCUUCUAUGAUCAACUUUAAGAUCUUUCUGGUAAUUUUGAAAUUAUGAACUCUUUAAAGUGUUUUUAUUCUAAUAACUGCCCAUGAAGAACUUGGUGCAGUUAUUGAAAACAGCACGGAUACAAUGGAAACGUUAAGAUAUGAACAGUGAUCAGGCAGAUGGCUUAUUUCAGGAAACAAGUCUGACCUGACCUCUGUUCAGUACCUGGGACCAGACGUUACUGUAGGUGUACUUCUUUCCUAGCUUAGCAAUUAAGAAAUCCAAAUUUGAACAAAUUCUUCCUAGAAUGCACUCUUAAGCUCAAGUGAGAGCAGUAGGCGUCCAGGCACUGAGGUUACUGAUAGGUCUUCAAGAUGGAUAAAGAAACACAUUCCUGAAACGUCAUUUAAAAAACGUAUCCCUUCAGAAGUUGAAUGCUAUCAAAACAAAAAAAUGCAUGUUUUUCAACUAUUAAUAUUCUCCAUUUAAAUAAAGUUUUAUGUUCUGUAGGAUCCAAGUAUUAAUACUGUAAUUAAAAUGAGAAGUGAACAGUGUAGCUGAGGCCUGUCUUUAUGCAGGAGGUUAGCAGUGUAAGUACAAGAUAAGCACACCACAAUUAAGGCAAUAAAAUGCUUUAUUCUGCUUAGCUGAUGGCAAUCAAAUGCAUACAACAAAACACAAUUAUGCAGAACAGCAGAAGUCACCGUACUUACAGUAACAUCACUAUAAAAUAUUCCAACUUCCUUUUCGAGGGAAUGGAAAGAAUACAGCAAAUAACUGAGCUGUACAGUCUGUCUACUUCAGCAAAUGGAUGCUGUUCUUUUAAGGUACGCUGUAGAAGAUGCUUAUUUUUGUGAGAAGAAGGUAAGGUACAUAAGCCAUUAUCAACUGACAGAAAACCACUGACCUCUGGAUAAAUCCUUUUAGCCCAGAGGGAACACUGCCGAUCCAUCCGUGCCAUUAGCGAGGCACUGGCCUGAUCCUGUGCAUCUGCACCAACUACUGGUAAGAAACUGAGAAUCUCUCUUAAGCAUGCAGAGUGCCCAAGAGAGACUGCAUCCCCUGAAAUUCCGACAUGAAAGGAAUUUAAAAUAAUACUGAUUAUUUUUGUAAUAAAAACCUUCUAGAAAACAUGCAUUAUUUAAUGACUUCCACUGAAAACCAUAAGCUUGUUAUUUCUUGUACUCACUGUUAACAUGACUGUCUGUUUGUGAUCGGUUAAGAACACAGUAUUAUUUUCACAACACAUUACUUACUAUACAAUCAGAGAAAUGGUCCGUAGCUGGGGAAGAAAUCUGCACCAAGGCCUUAUAUAUAUUAUAUUUUAAUACUGGUUCCCAAGUUCAUUUCCAGGCUAAAAAAGCUAAAUUCAUAGAAGUAAAGUGCUCUCAUGAGAACAUUCUUGUACUGAAUCAGCACUGUCCUCUUCCAACUAAUUACACUAAUGUGGAAUAACACAUUCUGACUUCAGAAAGCCAAUCCUCUGCACACAAGGCAUGCAGGACUAAGUAGGAGCAGCCUGGAACACCUCACUGCACGGACCUGCUCCGAAUCAUUUCUAUUUUCCACAGCCUCCCUUUCUCUUGCUCCCCUGGUUACUACUCCCUCUGCUCUGGAAUUCAUCUGUCUCCUCUUCUCCUCGCUGGAUCAAAUCCUCGUCACCAUCUAUUGUGCUACCCACCCACUUCCAUCACUGUCAUCUCGCACCGCUCCCUGACGCAUUUGUUAAAUAUAAGUUUAAUUAGAAAGGGCUCACUGGUAACAAACGAAAAACUGUCUAAAAUUAGAAUUGGGCAGAAAUGGUCUGAGAUUUAAAAAGUAAUACUAUUACGUGAUAUGCCUUUAUUGCUAAGCAAUAUCUUACUUCUAUGCACUGAUGAUGAAAUUAAAGCAUGCAGGGGCUGGCACGUACCACCUACAAUUUGAGGGACACACAACUACUUUCUGCUCAGCUCCACAGUAAGUAGAGACCAAAGUAAGUAAUAAACAAACACUACUUUGAUUUGAAGCAAGAAUUGUGAAAAUACACUAAAACAAGACACACUUUGAGCCUGUUACAAAAGUCACUGUAACUACACCUGGGUAAAAGAAGGGCUUUAUUUAUAGACAGACACGACUUCAGAACCAGUAUACUGUAACAAUUAUGGCAAACGUUGCUAGAAACCAAGAUAGGUGCCUUUUUUUUCAUAAUAAAUCUGAACAAAAAUAAAUUCACCGUGUGCCAGAAUCAGCAUAUUUAUUUUAUCCUAAUUGUGAAGGAUUCCAACACAAUAAUUGUACCAAGCACUAAUAGGAGCCAAAAUCACCAUCCACUACUUCCCGUUCAUCAUAUCUGUGCUUCAUGGGAUGAGGUGACAGAUUUAGUAUGAGACCUACAUACAUUCUGUGCCUCAUUUGGGUCUCCUUCAUAAGCACCAAGCAGUUAUGUUUUGCUCUUGCAAAUUCUCAAAAUAUACUUUUGAGAUCUCCCUAUUCCACUCCUGGCAAUCAGCUUUCUCUGUGCCUCUUUCCAUUUCAAUUACCACAUUUGUACACCACACAUACCAUGUACGUCUAAGUAACUCUGCUGGCCCUCAGCUUCUCACUCCUACCUACUGAAAAAGAGUGAAGAAGUUGUGCCAACUGAAGGAACUGACAGAGCAUUGCACCGCCCCUCCUGCACAAGAUGAGCACUGCUGGCUUCAGCAUGCGCUGACAUUCCAGGCAAAGGGAACCCCCCGCCACCAGCGUUAAUCCUCUCAGGGUGCUCCGAACUGCACAGCCGUGGAAAAUUAACUCAGCAUUAACUGCACAAACAGCUUUGGUUGAGCUUCCUGCUGUAACGGUUACCUAAUUUUUUGGUACCUGAAAUGAGAGAGAGCCGCUCCUUGACUGCUGUGCAGACGCAUGCACCCCACCAGACAUCUGGGUGCCCUCCAAUCCAGACAACCAGCAUCCUGGGCUGACCUGUGCUAGCAGGUCAAAAACAGCCUGGAGCUUGAGACGCUAUCUGGAAUUGAGAACAUAGGGGUUCAAUUCCCGUCUCACCUAUUUCCUCUGACUGGGAGCAAUUUGCAUCUCUAUGCUAUGAAAUUGAGAAGCAUUUCUGUUUUUUCUCCCUCAUGUCAAGGACUUCAUACUAUAAUUAAGUAUUAAUACAUGUAACAAAAUUCUAAGCAUUAAAUAUCAACAGAAAUUAAGAGGAGGGAACUCAGGAAGUACCUACCAUCCAGCACAGUUGUUGAUUCUACAGAGUUUUGACUGUAGUUUCCAUAGUUACUGAGAGCAAGUAUGGGAAGAGGCACAAAGUCAUUUAAUUUUUUCAUAGCUGGGUCACAGUAUGAACUGAACACGUGCAAAGACUUUUAAAGAUCUGUUCCUUAACGAAGUCUUCUUCUCAGAGAUGCUGGAAAUUUACUUAACAAGUCUGUCCUAAUCUUGUUAGAGCAUCUGCAUUUUAAGGUAUAAUAAUAUCACUUACUUGUUUUUCAUUAUUAAAAUGUUUUGAUUAGGAAGUCAGUACAGACAGUGCCUAUUCAAAAGCUGAUUCAUCUUUUCUCAUUAAAGGUAAGUGAAUGGAGAAGGAAUAAAUUGCUUUUCUAGCAGCAACAACAGAGUUCUAAAAUCUAGGUCACAUUAAAGAACUCUUAAAUACAGGCUUUACACAUCAAAUUGUCUUUUUCAUUGCUGUGAAACACUGGGAAUAAAACACACAUUCAAUCACCAGUAAAUCAGCUGGCAAUUUGUUCACUACUGAUACUUUAAAUGCUUUUUUUUUUUUUAAUGUGAUCAGAUGAUAAAAUUAUUCUGUCCUUCCAAGUGUCACCUUUUAUCUAGCUUCUCUACUUGUACAUAACUGCAAUUUGGAAUGCUCUGACUCUUGGACAUCAGUUUAAACCUGUGAGUCUAAUUUCCAGAUCCCGUAAGAAUGUCCACAAGUAAGACCAGUUAGGUCAAAGUGUUAUUCCUCACUUACAAUGAACUGUGGUUUUAGUCCAGGGCAGGAGAGUACAGGUGUAACUCACAAUGUGAAAACCAUCUGUGAACAGACAUUUCUUUGAAAUGGCAUUGAAGAACAGGAUUAGAAUUUGUAAGGUCUCGACUAACUGGAUCAGUGGAUUGAAAAAGCUGGGGUGUAACUCGGUAAGGACAAAACACGAAGUGCUGCCCUUGGUACAAGAACGCAGGUAGGUCUGGCUGGCCCUCGGUUCAGGAGAAGAGGCUGUGGAAGUACAAGAAAGCACCAACUUCAUGUGGGUCAGUAACAUGAAACUAUCUGGGAAGAGGAACGCGUGUACCAGUCUAAGAGCCUGUGUGCUAUAUCUUAAAGCAAACAAACCCAUUAGUCCAUUUUAUUUCCCAUAGGAAGGUCUCAACUACAGAACUGUAAUGCAAUGUUGAUGAACUGGAAAGAAUCCAGAGAAACAAAAGAGUGAUACAACAGCCAGAAGACAAGCCUUGCGUGCAAAAAAAUGAGCAAACUGGUAUUAGUGGCUUAUUUUGGGAACAGAAAAUUCAAUGGUGAAAUGAUAUCUUCAAAUAUAUUAAAAGUCACCACAAAGAGGAACAUAGUAGGAUGUUUUCAAUAACCACUGGGAUGAAGAAAACCAGCAAUGGGCUUAAAACCAUAAUGAGGAGGAUUUAGGCCAAAGGAAAAGCCUCCCAAUGGCAAAGAUAAUUAAGCAUGGGAAUCAUUUGUCUAGAAAAGCUAGAAAGUAGAAUUAUGUUAGACAAACACCUGUCUGGAUUCAUGUAGAUAAUUCGGAUUGCUGAAGGCAGGCAGGUGAUUCUACCUACCUUAUUGCUGGAGAUUCUUUCUAGCCGUAUGUUUUCAGAUUCCUUGGUACUAUUCCAAGUGCUGUCUGAGUGCUAGUUUUGGAAGCUUCUGUGUGAUUUACAUUACAUAUAGACACUUCUUCUGCUUCCCAUUCACAAGGCAUUUUUAUAUCUCAUAUUCACAGAAGUAAUACAUGUACAUUACGUUAUGUACCAAACAAAUCUUCACUUGUCUCCUUCCAAGUAUUUACUGUAAAAUCAAACCCAUGCUGGCCAAAGAAACAGGCUUUAUGGCUUUUUUUAGGCUUGUAAGAUAGCACCUCAACACAUACCCUAUCAAUCACACUAAAACUAAAACAGAAAAUCUAAAGGUAAAAUUGAGAGCUUUUGCUGUCUGCUGCCUUUCUAAUCAACCAUUGAACCCCAAUGUGGCCUCACUAGGUUUAUUUGUUUAUUUAAUAUUAUAGAUUUUUAAGCUUUCAAGUUCAGGCAUCUACUUAAUGAGCAUUGUUUUCCAUUGAGAAGAGCUGGAAACCAGAAUACCAAUGUUGCAUACAGAUAAAAACCCAGAGAUGUCUUCAGUAACCAUCUUUUGUCCUGCUCUACGUUGUCCAGCUCUGUGUUAUCUCCACACAAUGGCUCUGAGCAAACAAGAAAGUAACCAAAUUCCCCAUGAGUUCGAAAUUCAGCCCAAUUCUGCAGGCUAAAGGAGACCCCGAUGAUUUGGCCAUAGUCCAAAACUACCUAUUUCUUUAUUUAUUGCUAACUCAGAAAAGAUUGAACUGGAAAAAAAAAAUAAUCAUUUAACAAUCCAGAAUUGUUGUUGCCUACAAAAACGAAACCACCCUGCCAUGAAAUACGUGGGGAUGGGGGAAGAAAUCUCCAACCUUAAGCAAAACUCUGACAUUCUCUGCUGGAUAAAAGAAUUGUUAAGUUUCUUCAUGACAGAAAUCGCUUCCUUUGUUGUUGAAAAGUUCAAAGAAAUACCACAUUCUAAUUUUACUAAAAUACUAUUUCCUAGCAGAAAUAUUCUAUCAGAAAAUAUUUAAUUAACAGACGUAACCUCUAUAUCUUUAAAGCACACAGCAUAGAUUAAGAUUACUCCUUUUGCUAGUCAAAAACUGUUAACAAUGGGAGCUGUAUAGAUGCUUUAAGGAUGUAUGUUGUAUAAUUUAAUAGGCCUCCUCCAUUUCUGAUUUGAGUAACUCACUGAAAUAUUUAUGGCCUUACCAGAACAAUGAAUAUACAGUUAGCUCUUCAGUUGUUAUUAUGCAGCUCUUUCAGUCAGGAAGAAAAGGUACAUUCUGAGUUUAUUAGCUGGAGGUAUAUUAAAGCUGUGCUGUCCUCCUAAUGCAGAAGUAUGCCUAGAAAAAUAUCUCACAGGGAAUUAUUUUCUUGCUCUGACACUGGAAAAAUAAAAACAUAGCAGCAUGAGCAAGUGCCAGCAAUCUGAAAAUAUUCACGGGGUCAAUGGAGGGGAACUAUUUUGAUAUUCGGUCUCUGCAAAUGCAUCUUUAAUAUCACUAUGCUAAUUAAUAAAAGUCAAGUUAGCCACAGUGUGCCUGUCUUACAAUUACAUCUAGAUUUCAAUGCACAUAAACCAAAAAGGCAGGGGGAAACACGCAAUGCUUACCUAUUACCUUCUCCAGAACUCUCCCAAUGAGCUACAGCCAAAUAGCUGUACAACACUGCCAUAUCUUUAAUUUUAAGAACAAAACUAAUAAAGUAAACAGCAUUAAUUUUAUUGUAAUAAACAUACCAAGGCUGUAAUGUAUGAUUAAAAGGAACAUGAAUAUUCAGCAGUAUUAACGAUUCUCAAAUUAGCAACUGCUGUUUGAGAAGACUUGCCACGCUUCCUUGUAACUCUGCCACCAACUUAUAACUGUGUCAAAGGAAUGAGAAAGGACUACUAACAGCUUGCUAAACAUGGAGCUAUGCUGGCAACUUACCAUAAUGUAGUUUAAAAAACAAACAGAAAAAAAUUGAGAGAUUCCAUAUUUUGGCUGUUAAUGCCUGAGAUGUAAGACUUCAUCUGUGGUCCAGAAAGUAAUAGCAACUUAACUACCAAGAGAACAAACACCCACGGCUGCUGACCACCAGCUCUUCCCAUCGCCUUUUUUUUUAAUGUGCAAUCAGCAUACAAGGAAAAUGAAUGGAAAACGUGGGCAACUGAACUUCUGCCUGUAGGAUCUUCAUAAGCAAAUGCCUACUGUGGUACCUGGAAAGAUCAGUAUCAAUCAGGGCAGCAGGAUCUUUGGAAGAUAAGUUUUUGGGGAUACUUUUAGUGAACUUCACAAUGACUGCCAGAUCCCAGGCUGAAAAGAGAUUAAAGGAAAAUGAUGUGAAGAAAUAGUUCGAGAUACACUGCUUUAGUGCCUGCGAUCAGAGAAGUAGGCUUCUGAGCACGUAACAGAUACCGAUGAUUGGGAUUAUAUCAACAAGGGCAAGACUGCAUUUUUUAAUAGAAAAGUCGGAGGUAGAGCGGGGAAGUUAGCAGUCAGAAUACUUGAAUGCUGCAUUAUUCUGCUGAACAUUUCAAAAUGCUCACCGCCUCCUAUUGUAUGAAGAGAUAAGCAUGUUCCAGAGCUAAUCAGAUUUCUGCCAUUAUCGGUGGCAAGUAUAUUUCUUUUUAAAUUUUGUAAUAGAAAAGAAGAAGCUGCUUUCUCAAUUUUUUUUUUUAGCAUGAUCUUCACCGUAUGGACUACUAAGUGCAGCCAGCAACUACUUUUAAAUGCUACGGUUCCUUUGCUGAGGCAUUAUGAUCCUUUGUAAGAUGAAAGCAAUUUUCUUUAUGUCGUAAGGAGAUGGUAUUAUUCUGCAAAGCAGAAAGGCCUCCCAAGACUUACUGCCUAAAAAUAGCUAACAGCCUUUCAGGAAGAUGAAGAAUGAAUCUUUCAAGAGACGUGCUUCAUUAUUCUGUUUAUUACUUUGAUUUGCAUUUCUGGAUGUGGAGGAUCCUGUAGUAGUGAGCACUGUAAAACAAAGGGGUUUGGUUUUGUUUGUUUUAUACAGAGUCCUGGCUUAAAUCACCAAACUGACAUCACAUAGCUGUCAUUCAACCUACCAAGCUGAAAACUGCUUUGCAGCAUCGUUACAGACAAGGCAACGUGUACUUGGACAUCUUCAAGAAUGCACUGAACUUCUUUUAAACCUCUUCCCCCCAAGCAAAAUGUGAUGCUAUUGUGCAGCAGAGGUCGCUCUGUGUGGCUAGCUCAUGCAUAUGCCAUUUUGUCCUGGAUGUCAAGGACGAUUUUUAACAAGGAAAUCAGUUUUCAUUUAGAAGAAUGCUCUGCCCCUGGAUGUGUUUCACAUCUAUUGUAAAUAAAGUAAAAAUUAAAGUGUAUAACGAUGAAUGUCCAGCAGUACAUUUCUAUGCACUGAGCAGUCUCAGAAGUAUUCACUCCAGUUCUGUAAGAGCUCAAUGACAAAUUUGAAUUUGGAGGCACUUGUCAGGAUAAAAAGGAAGUCUUCUAAGUCUUUUUCUUUAAUGUAUGAUAUUUAUGAAAUGCUACAUACAUGAGAGCCCCUUUUUAGGACAGCACAUCUGCAAGAAAUCAGAAGAUCACACAGAGAAUGUGUUGUGAGAAUCUGGCAUAGAAGACUGCAGGCAGAACACCAGUAGGCAGUUACUGUGCUUUAACUAUUAGUCUUUUUUUUCUUUUUUUUUUUUUGAGAGGAAAGCUUUAAAGCUUUAAUUUCGUACGCAAGCUCAUCACAUCCCAAGUGUAUCUGUAAUGCUCUCCAAAUGAAUGAACUCAGAAGGAUGACGUUCAAUCUUUAAAUCCUUCUCUGCAGAGCUGUUUUUAACUUACAGGUUCAUAGAAGGGAUCCUUGCUGUGGCUCGAGAGCUUUCUGACGUGUCCUACCUGUUAUGUUUGACAACCACAUGGUAGAAUUCAAUUGCAUUUACUGAAUUGACUGAAAAUUUUCCUUGCAUGAUUUCCUGUGUAGUGUGAUAGAAACAACUUAAUGUGACAGAACACUUCCAUUGUCACUGGUGGAAAACAAAUUCCCCUCCCUCCUGGCCACUGUUAUUAAGUCAAAAGCAAAGAGUAUGUGCAAAAGGCAAAGGAGAAAGAACAAAUGUAAAAACUGGAUCCACUGCUACCAAACUGCCAGACUACCAAAACAACAGACAUGCUAACAGACAUAAUACAAGGAAAUGCCCCCUGUGUUUUCCUAGAAGGACAUUUAAAGAUUCCAAAAAAUUCAGUCACUUCAUUAUCAUUCAUAGCACCCUUACAAAGUCUUAUUUACUUUUUUGUUCUUUGUUUACACUAUUUAUUUCUGAAGUCACACUAUUAUCAGUUGCAUGACUCAGUGAGUUAGCAAAUACAUCCAAUUUACUUAAAUAAGGUAAUUACUACUAUACCCAGCUGACAUUGGUAACCUUUAUGCAGUGAAGUGUCCUGUGAUAUCUGCUUAAAAUUAAGGAGGAAAUGCGUGUAAUAUUUUAAGAGUAUUAAGAAGGAAGAACACUUCUAACUCCAGACUCAUAAAAGUUUUUCAUCAUUCUACGUUCUGCAUCUUUCCAAAGUAGUACUGAUUGAAUCUUAAGCAACCAGCAUGAAGGCAGCUCUGUUGUCUCAGAAUCAAAUGAAAAAAAUAAUACAGUGAAUAAAUUCUUCUGGGUGAGACAAACCACAAAAAAGCCACCAGAAUCACCAUGAGAGAACAGUGCACUUGUAGGAGUUAAUGUUAUGGUAAGGGUUAGGGCUGGAAACACCAAAGGGAUAGAAGCAGCAGCCCCUUGCCUGCUUUUGUAGGUCUUCUGUCAUUCUGAACGACACUGUAUUCUGGUAACCAUACCCAUAGCACACCCUGAACACAAUGGGAACAGAACCCACACGCAGGAGCCUUUUCUCACACUUGAGAAAAAACAAACAAGGUGACUGCUGAAACUCAUUACGCUCAAUGACUGAGCAAGAUGCUAAUGCCCCAACAUUUACUAAAAGAAAUGAAGUAUUUAUGGGCAUGUGUACAAGUGUACGCACACGCAGGCACGUGCUCUUACUCACAGUUCACUUCCAGAAUGGCACGGACAGACUUGGCAAGGUCUCUGGCUUCUGCUGCAAGAGCUGUGGUAACAGUUGGUCCAAUCCUCCCCAGCCGGGCAAGGAGUGCUUUAGAAGACAACGGUGUCCUUCUGUCACUAAAAGAAGGGGGGAAAGCAUUUAUUUGUAAGAUGAGCAAAGGUUCCUUUCAAUAAAGUAAAGCCUGAGUGUCAUUCUAUGAACAAAAAAGAUUAGUAUCAUCAAGCAUAAGUUUGUCUCAGAAUUAUUUCUGCCUGUAUAGCAAAGGCUUUUAGGAAAGUUCAAAUAAAACAACAUAUUUAAUUUCCCAUCCCCACAUUGAGCAUAAUGGCAUUCAGAAACACACAACAGAAAAUUAUAGGAAAAAAUACAUACAGGACAAUUUUUAGGGACAAAAGUAGACAUUUUCAAUACUCGUGUGAGUAACAGCUCAGAUCUUACCUUAGAACAGCCGAGGAAGGAGAGUUUUCGGAAAGCAUUUCAUGCACAACCUGUUGGCCACAAUAAGAAGUGAACAGCUCAUAAAUCAGCACAGUCAAGAAGGCCGUAUCUUUGGCAUGUGGGCUCUGAUGUGUACUUUAAAGAAUCUCCUUCUUCCAGUGAGAUGGAGAGAAGUAAUUCCCCCAGCUACAAAAUCUAUCAUCAGAAGUUACAAAACAAUACGGAAUGGAUUCCUACAGAAAAUACUUACAAAGUUACUAUCCUGGCUAUUUUCAUUUUCCCAGUACUUCAUACCUAUUAACUUACAGCUGCCUUUCAUUCUUGCAAAUAUUAAUUUCAUCAGUAUUUCCAGAAAAGUCUAUGAAGGGACACAUUAAUGUACAUAACACAGUAAUUCAUGGCAACGUGGCCUCAACUUGACAAAUUAUUCAACAAGCACUUUCAUCUUGAAAAAGAUAAAUGGACCCGUCACAUUAAAUAAUAAUUAAUAACAAUAUUAAAAUAACGUAUGAAAUUCAUUACUGCAAUUAUCUUCUCCUCUUACACGACGGUAGGACGUGUCAGUGCACGUUGGAGCAGGCCGCCUAUGGAAGGUGUGGAGUCCCUGUUUGUGAAGAUACUCAGAACCUGAGUGGACAAUGCUCAGUGCUGUGAGGGGAGGGAGGACUGAUGGCCUCCAAAGGUCCCUCAGUCUCAACUAUUCUGUGCAUUAAUUUAAAUAUUUAAGCUAAAAAAAUAAAAUCGUAACUCCUCCGCAUGAAAUAAACACCAUAAUGUUAUUUGUUUCUGUUAUAGCAUUUCAAAACAUUAUUAAAUACCAUUUUUCUGCCUCCUUCUUCUGGGGAAUUUCACAGAAAUCAGUAUGCUUGUGAAAAAUACAUUUAAGAAAUCUGACCAGUUUCAACUGCCUCUGUGUACAGCGAGAUGAAAAGACAAAGUGCAUUCCUACAAGAACACUUCUACAGCACCUUCACUUUCAGCACGGCUCCUCAAGCUGGGGAGUGGUUUCUGCAAACUACAGUUUAUAUUCAGCUUUACUCCUCAGCAACAUCAACAUACAGCUUUUCCAAAUAGAGCAGUGCAGUGGCACAGUUACCUCCACGAACUGUAGCAGUUUCUCAGUAGCCACCUCAAAGCUCUUCCUAGCCGACUCCGAUUUCCGCAGCUGACAGUCAAGAACAGUAACCCUCUUUCUCAAAUCUUGGAUGUUAUCCUGGAAAAGAUGUUUGGUACAUGCUGGAUUAAGGAUUUUAUUUCCAUCAUUUUCUUCCAUGGCUCGCAAAGCUGCUGUCUACGGAGCAGAAACUAUUCCCUGCUCGAGAUGUGCCACGGUGACCUAUGGCCCACAUGUGCUUCCAGCUCGUUUUUCCAGCCCAAAGAUAUCUGGAUAAAGGAAGACUCAUGCACUUCACAUUAUCCCCUUCACCACGCAUCAUUCCAGUUAUUGAAUAAUACAAGACAAACAGUGACCUACUUUAGAAAAACAGAUGAAAAGAAAAUGAAAACAAGAUACGUGACAACAGCAAGGAAACCAUGAAGCGCAAGCAGCAUCAGGUGAGGCUAAUGCAUUCUACGUGACUGCCAUCUGCACCUGGGAACACAGGCGACCCGAAAGCAGCAUCUGUUGGGCAGCAGGUCCUGCUGCCAGCUGUCAGCAGUGCAGCAGGAGCCGUGCAGUGCUGGCUAACACAGACCGACCGCUGCUCACGGGCACAGCACAGACAACGCGCCCCUCCCGCACGUGGCUCACAGCAGUUCCCUUUCCUUGAAAUAAGUCAGGGGAUUUCUUAGAAGUUCGAAUCUAUAUCUGCAGAGAUCAAACCUACUGCUCCUGCAGAAGGACCUUCCUGCCGCUGUGACUCAUCAGCAAGAAAAGGUGGGCCCUGCAGAUGACAAAUGAUGUUUUCAUAGUCUUAAGUAGCAAAGGUACCAGCAGUGAGCCCGUGGUGAGGGAAAGGCUGUUGGAGAGAACAGUGAAAAGGGACUUUCAUAUUAAGUUUGCUGAAUAUAAAUGAACACAGAGGCCUCGACAAAGGGUAGCAUCUUAAAAAUGCAUACGUGGGAAUUAUUUAAAUAAACUGAUACCAAAUAAGUCAUGGGAGAAUUGCUAUAAUAAAAAGGGAGGACUCUGUUUUGAAAUAAGACUUCCUUGAGAUAGAGGUUUAAUCUCUCCUAACCCAGAACUGCCUUCACUCCUCCAUUGUUUUUUCUGCAACCCAAUUGUUGAAUAUUAAUUCCUCUGUAGCAGCAGACUAAGUAUGACCAGAUUUCAACAAUGAAAGACCUAAAGGAAUAA